CCCUCGGGCCGGGCCAGCCUGCAGAGGCGCUGGCACUAGUACCACGGACAUGGAGAAUAGAAAAGACAAGCCUUCCAGGCCCGUCUCCACCGCCAGGGGCUCCGUGACCUCUGGCUGUGACCUCUGGGGUCACAGAGCCCAGGCCUCAGUUUCCCCACUCCGCCGGAGUGGCCAAGGAGGGGAGCGUUCACGUCACAACACGCCCUGCCUAGUUACAGUUCUAUGAAGUCUGAGAACCUGCUAAAGUCAGGUAACCACGGACAUGUUUCCAUCGUCAACAUCUCCCCAGUGUCCCUUCGUAAUAAACCCCCGCUCCGGACCCUCGUCUCCGUCUCCGAUCGGGUUUCUGGCCCCACCCUCGCCUUGUCCAGGUUGCCACGUCCACGGAGAGACACUUCACGCAGCCUCUUGAAUCUGACUUCAGUGACGUGUGAACAUCAUGCUUUUCAGAUUCCUGCACGUUGUCUCUGCUCCUAAGUAAAUGAAUCAUAAUUCUUUAUCCCC